UACGGAGGGUGCGAGCGUUGUCCGGAAUCACUGGGCGUAAAGGGCGCGUAGGCGGCGCGGAUAGUCGGCGGUGAAAGCCCGGAGCUCAACUCCGGGUCGGCCGUCGAUACUUCCGGGCUUGAGCACUGUAGAGGCAGAUGGAAUUCCGGGUGGUAGCGGUGGAAUGCGUAGAGAUCCGGAAGAACACCGGUGGCGAAGGCGGUCUGCUGGGCAGUUGCUGACGCUGAUGCGCGACAGCGUGGGGAGCAAACAGG
rnacentral:rRNA from 1 species